CUUAAUCUCUCUUUACUCUCCUCUCUUUACUCUCUCUUUACUCUCUCCUCUCUUUACUCUCUCCUCUCUAUACUCUCUCUCCUCUCUCUCCUUACUCUUGGACCCCGUGUCUGAUUGGACCCCGUGUCUGAUUGGACCCCGUGUCUGAUUGGAUCCCGUGUCUGAUUGGAUCCCGUGUCUGAUUGGAUCCCGUGUCUGAUUGGACCCCGUGUCUGAUUGGACCCCGUGUCUGAUUGGACCCAGGUCUGAUUGGACCCCGUGUCUGAUUGGAUCCCGUGUCUGAUUGGAUCCCGUGUCUGAUUGGACCCCGUGUCUGAUUGGACCCCAGGUCUGAUUGGACCCCGUGUCUGAUUGGACCCCGUGUCUGAUUGGACCCCGUGUCUGAUUGGACCCCAGGUCUGAUUGGACCCCGUGUCUGAUUGGAUAUCAGUCAGGUUAGGGUUAGUUAUCUCGGAUAUAAAAGCAACUACAGCGUUGAGAGCUUUUGUUUCUUACGUCCUCCCUGGAGCCGUGCGUCUCUACAGCUGGUUCAUAUUUACAGUUGUUGUAUUUCUUCUUCUCUCUUUAUUAUUACUCUUUAUUAUAAUCUUAUUAUUCUGCUAGGACUGUUGUUGACGGCCGUGUUGGUUGAUAAGAAGCUGAAGUCACACUAAGUGUAGAUGAACACUCCCGCCCUGACCGGCCGACAGAACAGCUGUUAUUUAAGAGUAAACUUCACGCGUUCUGAUUGGUGGACCCAGACUUAGGGCUCAACCCAGAGACAAAAGCUUGUGCAGUUUGUCGCUCGUCGUCUGCUGUGUUGAUCAGCGCUGUGGCCACGGAGGCAGCGCUCCUCCAGAUGAACCUGAACAGGCAACUAGCAGCAGCUCCAGAGGGAGCCCACACCUGUCUCUGUCCUCGGGGCUCCGUUCCUAAAGUUUGAUACCUGAACUCGAUACUGCUUCCUGAACGAUACUUUUUUCCAAUUCAAUUUUAUAAAAAUCAAUUUUAACACAAAGAAAGUAAACAUUAGACAUUGCGGUAGAAGUAUCUUCUUUUCCAGCUGCUUAGUUACCUGUGAGAGAAACCUAAAAGUCUUUCAAACAGCCCAAAUCUCUCUUCAGUUAGUCGCCCACGUAGGAAACUUUUCCUCCACGUAAAACCUGAAAAAGCUCCUACAAGUUUCUGUGAAGGUCUGACUCCUGUCGGCUGUUCCGGGCCUCAGAGGGACGUCAGUGAUUUAAAAUCUGUCAUUUGAAGGAGACUUGUUGCUUCGUCCUCUAACAUCGGCCAGCCGUCACCUCGCCUGUUCCUCUCGGGUUCUGCACCCGACAUACAGUCCCUCCAGAAAAACCUGAUUAUGUGAUCGCAUAAUCAGCCUAUUUUUCAAAUACGCCGCACUCUCACCGCAUAAAUUGCCGAUUUCUGCGCAAAAUAUGCGGUGCUUGCAUGUCAUAACCCACGCUUUUUCGUUGUAAAAACGUCUCGUAAUAUAUCUUAGCAGAAAGUUGAAAAAUGUUGCGUUUACUUCACACAAGAGCAGCCAUUUCCCCGUUGCCAUGGGAACGUUAUGAAAUGACGUCAUUACGCGACAUGAACAUCAUUGAAAAGCGUGUUGGGGUUCACCAAACAGCAGUUUCAUCGCAUAAGACUGCAUAAAUACCAUAUGGAGCAUAUUACAUCACAUUUUAUAAGAAAACGUGUCACAUGAUCAAGGAUUUCUGCCCGCAACAAUCACAAAAACCAGCUUUUUUCUGGAAGGACUGGUAUGAAUCUAUAUUUCCGAGCUGUUCCUGAAUCAGCAUGUUCUGUGGCAUGAAAUCAGUUCCAAGCCUUCGCCUGACAUCAUGCACACGAGAAAUGGAGCGGCCAGCGGUGUUGAUGAUUCAUUAUUAAUUAUUCUGACUGUAGUUUGAGGGAGUGACGCUGAACGUUUCCAUGACUACUGUUAAAGCUUCACAACAGGAAGUGAAUCCUGGGAACUAAAACCUGUUGAUGUGCAUCUGUGUUCUGUUAUUAAUAUUAAUAUUUAUUACUUGUUACUGGCUGAGAUUUCUACUGAAGCGUUCUGUAGCUGUUCAGUUUCUUAAAGUUUGAUGUUAUCACUUUUAAUGUAAGCCAGUUUGUAAUGGAAUAAAGCUCGUUAUCCAAA